CUACGGGGCGCAGCAGUGGGGAAUAUUGCACAAUGGGCGCAAGCCUGAUGCAGCCAUGCCGCGUGUAUGAAGAAGGCCUUCGGGUUGUAAAGUACUUUCAGCGGGGAGGAAGGGAGUAAAGUUAAUACCUUUGCUCAUUGACGUUACCCGCAGAAGAAGCACCGGCUAACUCCGUGCCAGCAGCCGCGGUAAUACGGAGGGUGCAAGCGUUAAUCGGAAUUACUGGGCGUAAAGCGCACGCAGGCGGUGUUGUUAAGUCAGAUGUGAAAUCCCCGGGCUCAACCUGGGAACUGCAUCUGUAGACUGGCAAGCUUGAGUCUCGGAGAGGGGGGUAGAAUUCCAGGUGUAGCGGUGCAAUGCGUAGAGAUCUGGAGGAAUACCGGUGGCGAAGGCGGCCCCCUGGACGAAGACUGACGCUCAGGUGCGAAAGCGUGGGGAGCAAACAGGAUUAGAUACCCGGGUAGUC
rnacentral:rRNA from 1 species